rnacentral:rRNA from 1 species
UACGGAGGGGGCUAGCGUUGUUCGGAAUUACUGGGCGUAAAGCGCACGUAGGCGGCUUUGCAAGUUAGAGGUGAAAGCCCGGGGCUCAACCCCGGGUCUGCAUUCGAUACGGGUCUGCUAGGGUCCGGCAGGGGAGACUGGAAUUCCUGGUGUAGCGGUGAAAUGCGCAGAUAUCAGGAGGAACACCGGUGGCGAAGGCGGGUCUCUGGGCCGGUACCGACGCUGAGGAGCGAAAGCGUGGGGAGCGAACAGG